rfam:Faecalibacterium sp. CAG:82 genomic scaffold, scf132
UCUGAAUAGAAAACAGCAGGUGCCUUUUGCCGCUUUCGGGCGGCGGAAAGGGUAAAAGAGAAGCGGGUGGGAUUCCCGCACGAUCUCGUCACUGUGAUAAGGGAGCUUUGCGGCGUUGGCGCGUUUUGCGCCGGUCACUGGGGGAACCUCCGGGAAGGCAGCCGCGGGCGCGGGCAGUUCUGCCCGUCCCUUUCAGCCAGGAAACCUGCCUGCUGUUGGUACGGGAG